CAUCUGGGAAGGAGGGAGUUUGCGAGUCUUGUUGGUUUUCUUGAGUGUGGCAGCAGACUUGUGAUUUCAUUUGUACAGGGAAUUCCCAGAUGAGGAAACUCCUUUGGAAAACGUGUAUCAGUUUCCUAGAGCACUGAGAAGUGACGUGCUCAGGGAUAAAAAGCUAGUGGAUAUUAGAAGCUGAACUUAAAGCUGCAUUUCCUGGCUCUAAGACCAGCCCAUUUCUUUGUGGGUUGUAUAAUCAGGGAAAGAAAAAAAAAAGAAGAAAAAAAAAGUGUAAUUUCCUGCCUAAAAUGGGAGGCACCUUUCUCAGAAGGGGUGGAACCAAAGCUGAUUGAAGCCUUCUACUAAAACAGGCCCUCAAAUCUCUCAUAUGGGACUGAAGUUUUUAAACUGCUUUUAAUUAACCAAAGGAAGUCGCACUUAAACCAGGUGUGCAGUCUCCCUCCUCAUACACCUUGCUUUUUCAAAGCCGUAUUUUGCUUUCUGCCAGAUUCUGAGAGGCCAGUGUCUGCUACUGCAGAUGCUUCUACCAAAGGAAGAGUCUCUGAAUAAUGUGAAAUGUGAGCAUUUACAAGAAAUGGAAACAUACUGGUUAUGAACAAUGAAGUCCAGGAACAAGUGACGAUGAGGGCUUUGAGAAACAACUACAGCUGGAAGAAAGAAAAAAACUGGCACCUAAUUAUAUAACUGGACAAGACUAUGCUCUCUUUAUCAAUGUUUCUUUGAAUUUGAAAGGGGUUACAUGCUGAAGAACAUGGAUUCUAUUUUUAUUAUAAUGAUUAUUGCUAUUCCUGCUACAUUUAUUUUUUGUCUUUUAUUGCGUUGUUUUUUGUGCCCUAAGACUUCACAUAAUACCAGUCAGAAGCAUAAUUCAUCAGGAAUUUGUAGUCUUGGGAGAAGAAAUGAUGCUUGGGGAGAAGAUAAUGUUUGUGGAAGAGUUCAUUUUUGGGGAGGAGGUCAUGCUUUUGGAAGAGCUGAUUUCUGGGGAGGAGAUGAUGAUUAUAAAGCAGAUGAUUCCAGGAGAGGUGGUGAUUUUUGUACAAUAGUUGAUUCCUAUGGAAGAGAUAUUACUUGUGGAGGAGAUAAUUCCUGGGGAGGAGGUGAUGCUUGUACAGGAAAUUAUUCUUGGGGAGGUGGUCAUGCUUGUGAAAUAGAUUACUGUGGGGGAGGUGAUGCCUUUGGAGGAGGUGAUUCUUGUGGAGGAUGUGAUUCUGGGGGAGGAGGUGAUGCUUGUGGAGGAGAUGGUUAAUGCACAAAAAUAAUACAGGGUAAGGAAAUGAUUAUUAUGGCUGACUGACUUGAACAAUGUGUUACCCUCUGUCCAUUCAGUGACCCACAUCUUGUACCUGAUGAGCUUUCUUUAGUCCUUGUUUUCUUCUGGGGUGAAAAUUCAGUACCAAGUCAAAAGAGUCCAUUUGAGCAGGAGAAAUCCAUUUUUACAAAAAGAUGGGAUAUCUAAGUAUGAAGAAUAACAAAACUCCUACAUUGUGAUAAAUCACAUGUAAACAAAUAAUGGGCCAAAAAGAACUAUAGGAAACUUUGAAUUGUGACCAAAAUAUCAAGAAUUCAUAUACUCUUUUUAAGUAAAGCAGAUAGAAAGCUUUAUUUUUUUUUGAAGGAACAAAGAAAUAAAAGGUUAUUCAUUUGGGAUAUAAUGAAUUAUUUGCCACAGUUUUUCUGAGGAGAUAUUGUAGAGAGCCCUUUCCCAAAAUGGUUUCUGAAACAAUGAAGUCAGAGAAUCUCUUUUUAGAUUGUGAUAAACACGAUCAGUGGUUUUCAAAAUCUUUAUCCUAUUAAAAAUGAUUGAGGAUCUGUCCCAAGAGUUUUAGUUUAUGUGGGUUAUAGUUAUAGAUAUUGAUCAAUUAAAAAUAAAAACUAAUUAUGAAUUUGUAGACUCUCUGAAAGGAUUUCAGAAAUUCCCAGGCUGCUCUGGACUAGACUUUGAGAACCACUGCUCUAGAUCUAUUUGGCAAAAUAAGCCUUAGCAUCAAAAAAUAUCUACCCAAAAUUUUUGAAGGACUCUGAAGAUUUUUCCCCCUCUGGGAAAUGUAAUAGUAAAUGGCAAACAUGCUAGAUUCAGGGAACAAAUAGUUUCUGAGGGAAUCCUAGAAGCUACAGACUUCAUGUCAAGUCAACCAUGAGGAUCACAGAGAGAGCUUAUUGAGAUCCUAUACUUCUUUCAAGACAAUACUCAUGUUUCCUCCUCCCUGAAGUGUUUUUGAUGAUUGCAACUGAAGGUAUCUAUUCCUGUUCAAGUUAUAGUAGAAAAAUUUGUAG